rnacentral:rRNA from 1 species
CACGUAGGCACCAAGCGUUGUCCGGAUUUAUUGGGCGUAAAGAGCUCGUAGGCGGUUCGGUAAGUCGGGUGUGAAAACCCCUGGGCUCAACCCAGGGCCGCCACCCGAUACUGCUGUGACUCGAGUGCGGUAGGGGAGCGGGGAAUUCCUGGUGUAGCGGUGAAAUGCGCAGAUAUCAGGAGGAACACCAGUGGCGAAGGCGCCGCUCUGGGCCGUGACUGACGCUGAGGAGCGAAAGCGUGGGUAGCAAACAGG